AUUGAACGCUGGCGGCCGGCCUAACACAUGCAAGUCGAACGAGUGGCGGACGGGUGAGUAAUGUCUGGGAAAAUGCCUGAUGGAGGGGGAUAACUCCUGGAAACGGUAGCUAAUACCGCAUACCCUCGGAUGUGCCCAGAUGGGAUUAGCUAGUAGGUGGGGUAACGGCUCACCUAGGGUACGAUCCCUAGCUGGUCUGAGAGGAUGACCAGCCCACAGGGACCUGAGACACGUUCCAGACUCCUACGGGAGGCAUCAGUGGGGAAUAUUGCACAAUGGGCGCAAGCCUGAUGCAGCCAUGCCGCGUGUAUGAAGAAGGCCUUCGGGUUGUAAAGUACUUUCAGCGGGGAGGCGUUACCCGCAGAAGAAGCACCGGCUAACUCCGUGACAGCCGCCACGGUAGUUC
rnacentral:rRNA from 1 species